UACGGAGGGGGCUAGCGUUGUUCGGAAUUACUGGGCGUAAAGCGCACGUAGGCGGCUUUGUAAGUUAGAGGUGAAAGCCCGGGGCUCAACUCCGGAAUUGCCUUUAAGACUGCAUCGCUUGAACAUCGGAGAGGUAAGUGGAAUUCCGAGUGUAGAGGUGAAAUUCGUAGAUAUUCGGAAGAACACCAGUGGCGAAGGCGACUUACUGGACGAUUGUUGACGCUGAGGUGCGAAAGCAUGGGGAGCGAACAGG
rnacentral:rRNA from 1 species